CAAAUGUAAGCAGUGACUUUAUGCUUACAUCUACAACAAAGUGAAGAGUUUAAGCUUCUUAUACACUGACGGCAAUUGACAAGGAAAGUUUACAUAUUGGAUUUUUACAUAAACUGCAAGCGCCUCUGGAUGCACAUACCUCCUCAGAUACUUCCGAAACUCUUUGUUUUUAAGCUGGUUUACAGCUCUCUGAAAGAAAUUCCUUGCCAUGAUAAAGUGAAUGUACAUGCACGUAUGUUGAUUUUGUUCAAAAUGAAAUGUGAAGAUGAAUUUGCCGUUUAUAUAGGAAUGCGAAUGACAUCAGCACUCUAGAUUCUAGAACUUACAUACGUAGGCUACUGAUAACGUAACUGACGUAACUGUUCCAACAUCUCCUUGGAAACGGACUGGAAUUGAAUGGAAGAAUGUUAGUGGGCGAAAUGAAUUUUGUCAACUGAAUAAAUUCAUUUUGUGUACAAAAUGCAUUUCCUGAACGAAAGUCAUUUUGUGGAGGAAAGGAAUGUCAUGAAUGAUACAGAGUCAUUUCGUGGAAGAAAUCGAUUCUGCGGAAUUACGGAGUGCUUUUGUGGAAGCAGGAAAUGCAUUUCAUCUGUUGCAGAGUCACGAAAAAUCAGCGCUUGACACUUGGCAUACCAUAAAGUACAAAGUACUCAGCAGGCACAUGGACGCAGACACAUCUGUAUCCACACCUGGAUAUUUCAGUGUGACUUUUAUUGCGUGGAUUCUUACUACAGUGGUGCCUGCGGUUCACGAACACAAUCCGUUCCAGGAAAGUGGUCGUGAACCAAUUUGUACGCGAUCCAAGGCAAUUUUCCCAAUAAGAAAGCAUUUAAAUUCCAUUAAUUCGUUCAGAAGUCUACCAAAUAAUGAUUUGUUGUCAAUUAAUUUUCUGGUUUUUAUAGUGAAAACUUUAAAGAAAAACACAAUAUAGUGUGGCGACGGGCGGACCGAGGCAUCACGGGAGACAUGGAGACUUGCUUGCUGGGACCACAUGCACACCCUGUCUACAACUAAGUCAUUGCACCUGUAACAGCCAAUGGCCAGCCUACAGUAUGUUAACUCCAGUGCAAUACUGUACCGCCUAAUUGAAUGCAGUAAAGUUUGGAACUGCGUCUGCCUUCCCUGGUGUUCUUACCGAUGCCACCAGAGAGGUGCCAUCUUACCGGUACCUUCCUCAUACAGUCAUAGCUUCUAACACUUUAAUAAUGCCAGACACACCAACCUUAUUUAAAUGGGCCACAUCAGGUGGCUUAUCUGCCUUUCCUAUGUAUAACCAAAAACUGUCACAACUCUGGUUAACAGCUGGGCCUAGGUACAUGGGCUCACAAUUUCUGAUAGCAACCAUCAAAUUAUGUGAUCCCAAACAAAUCAAGGAAAAAACAGUGACUAAGCAAUCAAAAACCCUUCAGGUAAUUUGUCCUAAAUAGAUAUUAUAAUCUUGGAUAGAUUUCAUGACUUCAGUUGAAGGGUCACAAUUUCUGAUAUCAGCCAUCAGAUGUUGUGACCCCAAACAAAUCAAAAACAACACAGUACCACAGCAGUCAAAAAAGACAUCAGGGGAAUUAUCAUAAAUAUAAAUAAUAAUCCUGGAAAGAUUUCAUAACUGGGGUGUACAGGUCACCUCUGUCAAAGGGGUGACUUUCAUACAGCUGUCAUCUGAUUUUGUGAUCUGAGUGUGGCUUUUGAAAAAGCAACAACACACCAUUAAAUUUCAGGCAAAAGAAACAUGUCCAUCUUCAGACUUUCACCAUGUUUACACACUGCAGACAAUUGUUGUGACAAUUUAUCAAACAUUCCUUAUUGUGUCAGUACAUGCAGUGUGCUACAGUACACAAUAUGCUGCUCCACAAAAUGAGCUGCAUCAACCAAUUUGGUACUGUAACAGCUCUUUGAGUAUCAGAAAGUAGGACAGGGUUUAAGUAUCAUAAAGUUAAUGAAACUGAAAAAUCAUAAUGAUCUUUUUAAACAUUUAUUUGAAAUAUGCCUUUACAUACAGUACAAAAAUCAAUAAAAUGAAAACAAAGAAAUGUGGAAAUUACCCGAAACAUUGGCUACAUGUUUUGGAGUUCAGAUAUAUCCUCUUUCUUAGCCCUCUGUAUAUUUUUCUAAUGUUGAUUUUUAAAAUUACAUAUACUUCUUUCCAGCCAUAACUCCUCAGACAACAGACGCUUGAAACCCUGAUCGGCAAGUCUGCAAUUGGUUGUUUAAAUGGCAAUUGGCUGUCUAAAUGUAUAAAAAUGAAUUUCCGUUUUAUGCAACUUUGGGUCAACUUUAUGCUUUUACUCCACUAUUUUACUCCAAUAUUAAACCAAAAACCAAAGUACUCCGUCAAAAAAGGAACUUUGUCCGUAUACAGUAGUAUAUAUAUGGGUGUUUGUGUCCACCUACUUCUGUCCAUGUAGUAUACAGUACAUGUAUGUGUGUAUAUGUCUCCAUCUACUUCUGUCCAUGUAGUACAUAUGUAUGUGUAUGUGCGUUUGUGUCACAGAUCAGCACAGGGAAGCAGGCGAAGGAAGCCAUGGAUAAAAAAAGGGUUUUAUUUGCAGAGGAACAUACGUAACGUUAAUGACAGAACUAGGAAAACGCAUGUGAACGCGGUCUGCAAAUACACUGAACUAACAACAGCAACCAGAAACAGCUGGUGAACACAGGGACUCUGCACGAGGUUAACGAGGGGGCAUGAUCGACGAGAGGGCAGGACGAAUGGAGCAUGACAUUACCCAAUGGGAGUGAAGGGACUAACAGGACCUAGAGAAACAAAAGCAAAAUAUCAAUGAGGAACCGGGAACAGGACAGACACACAGAGCAGACACAGGGACAAGAAGCAGGAAAACCACUGACAAACCAACGGGAACGCAGACAGGCACAGGGGCACCAAGAACGGAGACACUGGGGGAACACCAACAGGAGGAAAAAAAGGACCAGGAGCGAACAAAGGAGCGGAGCGACGAGGAGCAGACACAGAGGUACGAAAACAGGAGGCAGGAUGGUAGAGGACGGGGGAAAAUGGGGAGCCCGAGGGAACCCCAGUAGGCAAGAGGCAGAAGCUGCAGAGGCAGCCGGCGACUGCGAGGUUGGAGCCGAAGGGACCUUCGGCAACAGCGAGGCAGGAGCAGGAGGGGACGACGAAGGGGGCAAGGAGGCAGAUGGAGGGACAGGCAAAGGAGGUGAAGAGGAAGAUAACCAGAGGAGGCGAAGAGGAAGGCGAAGGGGGCACUGGGAGAGGGGAAGAGUGAACAGCAGCCACAGCCGGCCCAGGCAUAGGUGACCGAUGAGUCGGAGCGGGGGAACCCGCAGACGACCGAUGAGUUAACGGAGGCGGGGCCGAAGAGUCAUCGGAGAAGCACCCACAGGCGACCGCCAAGCAGGAGUCCAGGGAACCGCAGGCGACCGCUGAGCAGGAACCGAAGGACCCGCAGGUGCUGCAUGAGUCCCAGCCACAGGGACCGAGGAUGAGCCAGGGGGCAGGGCAGGCAGGAACCAACCCCUGCGCAAGUGACCUCUCCCCCUCCUGGAUAUGAAGAGCCCAAUUCCUGGUUGGGAUCUGCCAAGUGGGGGUAACAGAGCUGGGGUUCGCGCCUUGGCAGUGGGUGCAGGCGAAGUAGCAACAGGCAGACGGGCUUGGGCUCCGGGCCCAAGCGCAGGCGACGUCAGGUUUGGUUCCUUUUGGCAUACUGCGGGGGAAAUGGCGGAGAUGGAGACGGCCCCUAGGGAAACGUGCAACGCUUUCCCUCGUCGCUUUCCCUGCUUCUCUCUCCCCCGAACAAGCGCAACGAGGUCCGGCAAUUCAUGUGGAAUAAAAGGACAAAGACUGUAAUCGCCCCCUACCUGCUGGAUCAUGUCCUCAGCUACCCAGCUCUUCAGCCGGGCUAAAUGCCACCAUACCUCUGCUGUGAGGCGCGGGUCUUCGGCAGGGGAGAAGUGGGUCAAGAUUUCCCUUGACCGGCGAGCGACGGCUUGCGCCGUGGGGUCUCCCUUCAUUUUGGACUCCUUGAGCCAGUAUUCUACCUCGUCCAAAAGGUCAAGGUGUUCCGCCUCAUGGAAGGGAGGCAUCUUCUCCUGUAGUCCUGUCAUUCUGUCACGGAUCAGUACAGGGAAGCAGGCGAAGGAAGCCGUGGUAAUAAAAAGGGUUUUAUUUGAAGGGGAACAUAUGUUAAUGACAGGACUAGGAAAACGUACUUGAACGCGGACUGAAAUACACUGAACUAACAACAGCAACUAGAAAUAGGUGGUGAAUACGGAGACUCCACAUGAGGUUAACGAGGGGGCGUGGUCGACGAGAGGGCAGGACAAAAUAUGUGUCCGCCGCCUUCUGUCCAUCUAGUAUUUUUGCAUGUGUAUGUGCGUUUGUAUAUAUACUGUACAUGUGUCCGCCUUCUUCUCUCCAUGUAGUAUAUACAAUGAGGGAAAUAAUUAUUUUUAUAGUUUGUAACUGUUACAUAAUGACUUUUUCUUGCUUGUUUUGUUAAUAAUCUAUCUUUUGCUGGUUCAAUAAACAUACCAGUGAAAUUACA